CAAGCUGUGGAACCACUUUAUAUGUGGAACCGCGUACUUUUUGUAGAACGGUCCGGCGAGUUACAAUUACUGGCAAGGUUAAGGACAGAAAGUCUGGAGCCGAAGGGAAACCAAGUCUGAAUAGGGCAUUGAGUCAGUAACUGUAUACCCGAAACCGGGUGAUCUAUCCAUGGUCAGGUUGAAGUCACCGUAAAAGGUGAUGGAGGACCGAACACACAUCCGUUGAAAAGGGUGGUGAUGAACUGUGGAUAGGGGAGAAAUUCCAAUCGAACCCGGAGAUAGCUGGUUCUCCUCGAAAUAGCUUUAGGGCUAGCCUCAUUACAGUCUAACGGAGGUAGAGCACUGAAUACCCUAGGGGGCGUCAAAGCUUACCGAAGGUUAUCAAACUCCGAAUGCCGUAUAGAUGAUUAAUGGGAGUCAGACUACACGAGAUAAGUUGGGUAGUCAAAAGGGAAAGAGCCCAGACCACCAGCUAAGGUCCCAAAGUGCGUGUUAAGUGGAAAAGGAUGUGAGAUUUCAGAGACAACUAGGAUGUUGGCUUAGAAGCAGCCAUACAUUCAAAGAGUGCGUAAUAGCUCACUAGUCGAGAGAUCUUGCGCCGAAAAUGUCCGGGGCUAAAACACGACACCGAAGCUGUGGAAUCAUAUUUGAUAUGAUUGGUAGAGGAGCAUUCUUAACUGCGAAGAAGCGGUACCGUAAGGAGCCGUGGAGUGUUAAGAAGAGAGAAUGCCGGAAUGAGUAGCGAGAUAGAAGUGAGAAUCUUCUAGGCCGAAUAUCUAAGGUUUCCAGAGUAAAGCUGAUCUGCUCUGGGUAAGUCGGGACCUAAGGCGAGGUCGAAAGACGUAGUCGAUGGACAACAGGUUGAGAUUCCUGUACCGCUAAGUAACAGAACUGUGGGGACACAGAAAGAUAGGGAAAACCGGGAAUGGAAAAACCGGUGCAAGCACAAAGUCAAGUCUGGGAGGCAAAUCCCUCAGAUGAUGGUGAAGUGUGAUGCGGAGUGAACUAAGAGUAACGAAGUUCCCGAAUCUAUGCUGUCGAGAAAAGCCGCUAUUGUUUACUAAGCGCCCGUACCGUAAACCGACACAGGUGGAUGAGGAGAGAAUCCUAAGGCCGACGGGAGAAGCAUUGUUAAGGAACUCGGCAAAAUGACCCCGUAACUUCGGGAGAAGGGGUGCCUGUAGAAAUACAGGCCGCAGAGAAUUGGCCCAAGCAACUGUUUAGCAAAAACACAGGUCUAUGCAAAACCGAAAGGUGAGGUAUAUGGGCUGACGCCUGCCCGGUGCUGGAAGGUUAAGGGGAGUGGUUAGAGCAAUCGAAGCCAUGAACUUAAGCCCCAGUAAACGGCGGCCGUAACUAUAACGGUCCUAAGGUAGCGAAAUUCCUUGUCGGGUAAGUUCCGACCCGCACGAAAGGCGUAAUGAUUUGGGCACUGUCUCGACAAUGCACCC
rnacentral:rRNA from 1 species